UGGAUGGUUCAAAUCGUUAAAGUUCGAUGUGUUGUGAGCCCCACAACUAAUCUCUAUUUUUUUUCAAAAAGUUGAACCCUUCCCCUUAAAGAAUCUGUAUAUAUAUUUAUGUUAAUUUGGUAUACAGUAUAAUGUGAAUGGGGAUCAUCUUCAAAUCUCGUAGUCGAAAACCGAAAAAUCGAGAAGUUCGGACCACUCAUUUUAAAUUCAAUGACCCCCAUUAACCAAUCCAACUAGCCCCAUCUCACACAAAAGAAAAGCCCAUAUCACUCUCUCUUGGACCGUCCGAAAUUCACCAUUGAGCUUGGAUAAACAUGAACAUUUUGCCUACUCACACAUAUGCUGUGUUCCUUAUCCUUAUGCGUAUCCCCGGAAUAAAAAAUACUUGACCUCAAAAAAAAAAAAAAUAAAAGCAUGGCUGUCAAUAUCAACCCACGAGUGGAUCAUCGUCGAAGGCUUCGAAUUCCUCUCGACAUUUCCUUCCAUUUCCACUUUCUCUCUCUCACUCCGCGGUCGUCUCUCCUCUCAUCUCUCACUCUUCCUCUGACCUUCCUUGUCUACUGAAGGAACCGUAACCCUCUUCUAUUCCUUGGGGUAAGUUUCCAGUACACUUCUCCAUUUACUUCCCACACUAAUCUCACCCCUGACAUAAAAGAGGAAUUUGACUGAUUUUCUUUGUGAGUUUUGAUUGUUUUCACGCAAUCUCCCAAAGGAUCACUAACGAUUAGCUUCUCUAGAGAUGCAUCCGUACCUGAAGCUGCGAACGCGGUGAUA